GACGAACGCUGGCGGCGUGCUUAACACAUGCAAGUCGAACGGAAAGGCCCUGCUUUUGUGGGGUGCUCGAGUGGCGAACGGGUGAGUAACACGUGAGUAACCUGCCCUUGACUUUGGGAUAACUUCAGGAAACUGGGGCUAAUACCGGAUAGGAGCUCCUGCUGCAUGGUGGGGGUUGGAAAGUUUCGGCGGUUGGGGAUGGACUCGCGGCUUAUCAGCUUGUUGGUGGGGUAGUGGCUUACCAAGGCUUUGACGGGUAGCCGGCCUGAGAGGGUGACCGGCCAAAUUGGGACUGAGAUACGGCCCAGACUCCUACGGGAGGCAGCAGUGGGGAAUAUUGCACAAUGGGCGGAAGCCUGAUGCAGCAACGCCGCGUGCGGGAUGACGGCCUUCGGGUUGUAAACCGCUUUCUCCUGUGACGAAGCGUGAGUGACGGUAAUGGGUAAAGAAGCACCGGCUAACUACGUG
rnacentral:rRNA from 1 species